rnacentral:rRNA from 1 species
AUGGGCUUGCGUCUGAUUAGCUAGUUGGUGUGGUAAAGGCAUACCAAGGCAACGAUCAGUAGCCGGACUGAGAGGUUGAACGGCCACAUUGGGACUGAGACACGGUCCAAACUCCUACGGGAGGCAGCAGUGGGGAAUAUUGCACAAUGGGGGAAACCCUGAUGCAGCGACGCCGCGUGAAGGAAGAAGUAUUUCGGUAUGUAAACUUCUAUCAGCAGGGAAGAAGAUGACGGUACCUGACUAAGAAGCCCCGGCUAACUAC